rnacentral:rRNA from 1 species
UACGUAGGGGCCUAGCGUUGUCCGGAUUUAUUGGGCGUAAAGAGCUCGUAGGCGGUGUGUCACGUCGUUCGUGAAAACCUGCAGCUUAACUGUGGGCGUGCGGUCGAUACGGGCAUCACUGGAGUUCGGCAGGGGAGACUGGAAUUCCUGGUGUAGCGGUGAAAUGCGCAGAUAUCAGGAGGAACACCGGGUGGCGAAGGCGGGUCUCUGGGCCGAUGACUGACGCUGGAGGAGCGAAAGCGUGGGGAGCAAACAGG